rnacentral:tRNA from 1 species
GGACCUGUGGCCGAGUGGUUAAGGCGCCAGAUUAAGGUUCUGGUUACGCAAGUAGCAAGGGUUCGAACCCCUUCGGGUUCA